ensembl:lncRNA LINC02911 long intergenic non-protein coding RNA 2911
AGCCCAGUCCCAGAAGGUAAAACCAUUCUUAACUAUAGUAAGGACCAUCACACUCAGCUGACCUAAGAGCCUAACAACCUGCUCUUUGGGGGCAGUAGGACAAUGGGGUAGGAACUCCAUCCUCGCUGCCGCGCCUUCAUGGUACGGUAGAUGCGCUUUUUCUCUCCCUUGCUAGACAGGGCCGCCUUGGGACCCUGUGGGCUAUUGGAUGGCGAUUGCUCCAACUUUUUUGCAUUCAACAUGAGCAGCUUCCUGGCAAGAGUACUGGGAAACUAUAGCCUGAACUUUCCUCUUAACAGGGACCCUUUAUUUUUUCCGCACAGGAGCUUGGGAAUACAGCAGCAGGCUUUAAAGCUUGCCUGUCUUUCGCCUACGCUUCUGGAAUCCUCAAGUUGUGUUGACCCACCUGGGAACACUGCUGGUUCCAGAAUGCCAAGCUCCAGUAAUUGUAUAAAAUAAAAUUAAAAUACCAGAA